AUUGAACGCUGGCGGCAGGCCUAACACAUGCAAGUCGAGCGGAUGAAGGGAGCUUGCUCCUGGAUUCAGCGGCGGACGGGUGAGUAAUGCCUAGGAAUCUGCCUGGUAGUGGGGGAUAACGUCCGGAAACGGGCGCUAAUACCGCAUACGUCCUGAGGGAGAAAGUGGGGGAUCUUCGGACCUCACGCUCUCAGAUGAGCCUAGGUCGGAUUAGCUAGUUGGUGGGGUAAAGGCCUACCAAGGCGACGAUCCGUAACUGGUCUGAGAGGAUGAUCAGUCACACGGGAACUGAGACACGGUCCAGACUCCUACGGUAGGCAGCAGUGGGGAAUAUUGGACAAUGGGCGAAAGCCUGAUCCAGCCAUGCCGCGUGUGUGAAGAAGGUCUUCGGAUUGUAAAGCACUUUAAGUUGGGAGGAAGGGCAGUAAGUUAAUACCUUGCUGUUUUGACGUUACCAACAGAAUAAGCACCGGCUAACUUCGUG
rnacentral:rRNA from 1 species